AGCAGUUCCCAGUGGUUUUAGGGACAUACUUAGCUGUCUAGAAUGCUGUCUAGAAUUGACUGUGUUACCAGGCAUAAAGGGGGUGACUGUGGGAACGAAGGAAGACUCCUUGAUACAUGCCAUCCUGGUGCCAUGUGGUGACACCAGAGUUCCUUCUGACCGCUGGGCAUCCCUGCCUGACUAGAGGGUCCACUUCUAAACAGAAAAAGAUGGCCACGGCAGCACAGGUUGCCUGGGAAACCAGAAAGUUUUGUGACAGCUGGCCCUCCUACUUGCUUUCCUCUCUCGAGUCUUUUGUUUAAACUUUUUUUU